UUAAGGCAACCUCACAUGCUUGGAACAUGAGGAGACCUGUCUAGACAGUACCGGCUUGGCAAUAUGUGUUCCCGAAAGUCUUUGCGAUAUUCUAGAUAUUAUAGUUACUUUCAAAAUUGAUGCAGUUUUCGACAUACUUGUACCCGUUUUCGAAACGCUAUAUGCAGUGGUUAAAGAGAUCGUUGCAAGAUUUCUGAAUAUUGAUACCAGUUCUGUACUGGACAUAAAGUUCU